rnacentral:misc_RNA from 1 species
AAGAGGGUUGCUGACGU